rnacentral:lncRNA from 1 species
AUGACGUCAUCGCUGGCUUCGGCGUCGGCAUCGCCAUUGUAUGACCUCACCUGUCCUGUGUGUCCGGUGUCACCUGUGUUACCUGUGUGUCACCUGUGUGUCACCUGUGUGUCACCUGUGUCACCUGUGUCACCUGUGUGUCACCUGUGUGUCACCUGUGUCACCUGUGUGUCACCUGUGUGUCACCUGUGUCACAUGUGUCACCUGUGUCACCUGUGUGUCACCUGUGUCACCUGUGUCACCUGUGCCACCUGUGUCACCUGUGUCACCUGUGUGUCACCUGUGUCACCUGUGUCACCUGUGUCACCUGUGUGUCACCUGUCCUGUGUCACCUGUGUCACCUGUCCUGUGUGUCACCUGUGUCACCUGUCCCACCUGUGUCACCUGUGUCACCUGUGUGUCACCUGUGUGUCACCUGUGUGUCACCUGUGUCACCUGUCCAACCUCACCUGUGUCACCUGUGUGUCACCUGUGUCACCUGUGUGUCACCUGUGUCACCUGUGUCACCUGUCCAACCUCACCUGUGUCACCUGUGUCACCUGUCUCACCUGUGUGUCACCUGUCUCACCUGUCCUGUCUCACCUGUCCCAACCUCACCUGUCUCACCUGUCUCACCUGUCCUGUGUGUCCUGUGUCACCUGUCCUGUGUCACCUGUGUCACCUUUGUCAACUGUCCCACCUGUCCCACCUGUGUCACCUGUCCCGUGUCACCUGUCUCUCUCAGCUGUAUCUCACCUGUCCAUGUCUCACCUGUCUCACCUGUGUGUCACCUGUGUCACCUGUCUCACCUGUCUCACCUGUCUCACCUGUCUCACCUGUCUCUCACCUGUCUCACCUGUCCAUGUCUCACCUGUCUCACCUGUCCUGUUUCACCUGUCGUGUCUCACCUGUCUCACCUGUCUGUCUCUCACCUGUCCGGUCUCACCUGUCCUGUGUCACCUGUCUCACCUGUCUCUCACCUGUCUCACCUGUCUCACCUGUCUCACCUGUCUGGUCUCCUCACCUGUCUCACCUGUCUCACCUGUAUCUCACCUGUCCGUGUCUCACCUGUCCAGUCUCACCUCUCUCACCUGUCCGGUCUCCUCACCUGUCUGGUGUCACCUGUCCGGUCUCACCUGUCGGGUCUCACCUGUCCUGUCUCACCUGUCCGUGUCUCACCUGUCUCACCUGUCUGGUCUCACCUGUGGUGUCUCACCUGUCCGUCUCUCACCUGUCUGUCUCUCACCUGUCUCACCUGUCUCACCUGUCGGGUCUCACCUGUCCGUGUCUCACCUGUCUCACCUGUCCGUGUCUCACCUGUCUCACCUGUCUGGUCUCACCUGUGGUGUCUCACNNNNNNNNNNNNNNNNNNNNCCAUCCCCUGUCUCACCUGUCCUAUCUCACCUGUCCCUGUCCCUUGUCUCACUUGUCCCUUGUCUUUCUUGUCUUACCUGUCUCCUGUCUCACCUGUGCUCUGUUCUCUGCCACCCAUCCCCUGUCUGCUCUCUGCCACCUGUCCCCUGUCUCACCUGUCCCCUGUCUCACCUGUCUCCUGUCUCACCUGUCCCGUGUCUCACCUGUCCUUGUCCCUUGUCUCACCUGUCCCUGUCCCUGUCCCCUGUCUCACCUGUCCCUGUCUCACCUGUCCCAGUCUCACCUGUCUCACCUGUCUCACCUGUCUCACCUGUCUCACCUGUCCCUGUCUCACCUGUCCCUGUCUCACCUGUCCCUGUCUCACCUGUCCAUGUCUCACCUGUCUCACCUGUCCCUGUCUCACCUGUCCGUCUCACCUGUCUCGCCUGUGACUCACCUGUCACUCACCUGUCUCACCUGUCCAUGUCUCACCUGUCUCACCUGUCUCACCUGUCUCACCUGUCCGUGUCUCACCUGUCCGGUCUCACCUCUCUCACCUGUCCGGUCUCCUCACCUGUCUGGUGUCACCUGUCCGGUGUCACCUGUCCGGUCUCACCUGUCUCACCUGUCCGUAUCUCCCCUGUCCGUCUCUCACCUGUCCAGUCUCACCUGUCCGGUCUCACCUGUCGGGUCUCACCUGUCCGGUCUCACCUGUCUCACCUGUCUGGUCUCACCAGUGGUGUCUCACCUGUCCGUCUCUCACCUGUCUGGUCUCACCUGUCUCACCUGUCUGGUCUCCUCACCUGUCUCACCUGUCUCACCUGUCGGGUCUCACCUGUCCUGUGUCACCUGUCUCACCUGUCUCACCUGUCCCAGGUGUCUCACCUGUCCUGUCUCACCUGUCUCACCUGUCUCACCUGUCUCACCUGUCUCACCUGUCUCACCUGUCUCACCUGUCCGUCUCUCACCUGUCCUGUCUCACCUGUCCGUGUCUCACCUGUCUCACCUGUCCGGUCUCACCUGUCCGUGUCUCACCUGUCCGUGUCUCACCUGUCCGUGUCUCACCUGUCCUGUCUCACCUGUCUCACCUGUCUGUGUCUCACCUGUCUCACCUGUCUCACCUGUCCCUGUCUCACCUGUCCCUGUCUCACCUGUCCCUGUCCCUGUCCCUGUCUCACCUGUCCCACCUGUCCCUGUCCCCAGGCUCUGGAGCUGGCGGAGCAGUUUGACACGGAGGAGCUGCGCUGUGUGGCGCUGGCGCUGCAGUUCUGUCCCUGUCUCACCUGUCCCCUGUCUCACCUGUCUCACCUGUCCCAG